rnacentral:rRNA from 1 species
GACGAACGCUGGCGGCGUGCCUAACACAUGCAAGUCGAACGGGGAGUUAUUUAUAACUCCUAGUGGCGAACGGGUGAGUAACGCGUAGACAACCUGCCUCUAAAUUGGGGACAACACCGCGAAAGUGGUGCUAAUACCGAAUGUGGUAACUUGGUCGCAUGACUAGGUUAAGAAAGAUGGCCUCUAUAUAUAAGCUAUCGAUUAGAGAUGGGUCUGCGUCUGAUUAGCUAGUUGGUGAGGUAAUGGCUCACCAAGGCGACGAUCAGUAGCCGGGCUGGGGGGAUGAACGGCCACCCUGGGACUGAGACACGGCCCAGACUCCUACGGGAGGCAGCAGUGGGGAAUCUUCCGCAAUGGACGAAAGUCUGACGGAGCAACGCCGCGUGAGUGAAGAGGGUCUUCGGAUUGUAAAGCUCUGUCGUUUGGGACGAACGUGGAUUGUGUGAAUAAUGCAGUCUAAUGACGGUACCAAAGGAGGAAGCCACGGCUAACUACGUGCCAGCCGCCGCCGUAA